rnacentral:rRNA from 1 species
AUGGCGCAUCCUAAGGAAUGUGCUUGUAUAACGUUGCACAAUUACAUUAGGGACAACGAGCUACGUGAUAAAGAGUUUGACAAAUGUGAUGAGAAUGAAAAUUACAUGCCCGCGGUGGCACGGGCAACACCAUUGCUUGGGGAUGUCGUUCUGACAUCCUCUGAUGAAGACAAUAUGAACGACACGUGUGACAGUAUUGUGGAUAGCACGACUAGCUAG